rnacentral:lncRNA from 1 species
AGCAGAUCCAUUCUGUAGAAACUGCCCACCUGUUAGACAUCAACAUCUGCUUCUGACAUCCAACCAUCAACAUCAUCAUGGCUUGAUGACCCAGGAUCACCCAAAGCAGAUGACAGCAGCCUCAUGUUACAUCACAAUGCCUAUGUCAUUCAUCUCACUUCAUCUCAUCGUGUAGGCAUUUUAUCAACUCACAUCAUUCCAAGAAGGAAUUCAGAUGCCCUGUGGGAGCCAGAGAACAACUUUCAUUUUAAGCACCCACCAGAGACUAACAACAAUUUCUGUAUCCUGCGAGAGAAAAUGUGGUUGACUCAGUACACGCCAGCCAGGGCUUCACUACUGUCCUCCAUAUGUAGAGCUUAAGGUUAAGCUCUAUCCGAGCUACUCUAAAAGUUCUAGAACUUUAUUCGACUGGUGGACGAUGCAAACUCUCAAGAUGGCCUUUGAGGCAGAGGAUCACUAAUGUGCUGUCAGCUGACUUCCCACUCCUCCCACC